GGGGGUGUAGUUCAGUGGUACAACUCUUGCCUAGCAAUACAAGUUCCUGGGUUCAAUCCCCAGCACCCCCC
rfam:Ictidomys tridecemlineatus contig012139, whole genome shotgun sequence.